UUGAGAAGACUAUACAAUAUCU
rnacentral:sRNA from 1 species